rnacentral:lncRNA from 13 species
CAGACAGGUUUCUAGGUAGAAAGGGACGGGUGCCCAAUAAAACCCCUACCUUCAAGCCAGAGACAGUCUGAAGCCUGGGGUUAAACUGCGAGUUCUGGUGGCGUCCACUGACUGGAGUGAGAAGUUAUAGACCGCCUAUGGGUAAAUCAUCACGUACUUCCGCCUUUCUGCGUCCAUAAAAACCGAGGACUCAGCCACACUCAGACACACACGUCCGGACUACCCGGAUGCGGAAAGGAGUUACCCACCCUGGGUCUCCUGAGAGCCAUUUUGUAGCUCAGUGAAGCUCCUCUCCGCCUUGCUUCACCCUCCACUUUUCUGCAUACCUCAGUCUCCCUGGAUGCGGGAAAACAACUCUGGACCCACCGAAUGGCUAAAAAAAAAGCAUAGGACUUUGGGUUAAGAAAAAGCAACGCAAAACAAAAAAAAUGAAGUUUGCCUGCAAUAGACAGAAAGAAAGGAAGAAAAGAAGAAAGAAAAAGAGAAAGAAAAAAAGAAAGAGAGAAAGAAAGAGGAAGAAAAAGAGGGAGAGAGCUCCUGUAUUGGAGUCUCACUUGUCGCCCAGGGUGGAGGUCAGCAAUGAGAUCUUGACUCACUACAACCUCAGCCUCCCAAGUUCAAGAGGUUCCCCUGCCUCUGUCUCUCUAGUAGCUGGGAUUAUAGGCAUGUUUCAACGUGUCCAGCUAAUUUUUGCAUUUUAGUAGAGACAAGGUUUCACCAUACUGGCCCGGCUGGUCUCCAACUCCUGACAUCAAGUGAUCCAUCUGCCUCAGCCUCCCAAAGUGCUAGAAUUACAGGUGUGAGUCACCAUGCCCAGCCCAAUCUUUCUGAAUAUUAUUUUUAUGAUGCCCAAGAGUCUUAUUUUCAUAUCACUGUGUUAUGGUAUUAACAUUUGUAUCUCCUCCCAAUUCAUGUUGAAGCCCUUACCCCUAGUGUUGCUGUAUUCAGAGAUGAAGCUUCAAAGGAAGUAAUUAAGGUUAAGUGAGGCCAUUAGAGUGGUUUUCUCAAGAGAUAGGAUUAGUGUUUUAUACGAAGAGGAGGAGAGAACGCUC